rnacentral:lncRNA from 1 species
AAAGACAUCAAAAUAUUGUAACUGGAAGUUACAAUCGAUAAUAAAUUAAAGUAAGUAUAUCAUAUAUUUUCUUAUAAAAAAAAAAGGCUUAAUAGAUACUCACAUUGCAUGAUAAAAGCAGGUUCAAAUUCGAUUCCAGGUGCAAAAUAUGAACAUUAAGGUUCAAUUCCAUAUUAAAAAAAGUGUCUUUUCUUUGAUUCAAUAUUCAAGUCCUUUCAAAAUAACAAGCAUGUCCACAAUCCACUGAGUCAUGUCUUUGCAAUGACUCCAAAAAAUUCACAAAAAGAUAUAACUGCAAUGAAUAAUAAUAAAAUUAUUAUAUUGAACAAGUCAAAUUUAAAUAUCAAGAAAGUAGAAAAAUUAAUGAAAAAAUCACAGAUGUAAAAUUUAUACUAGAAACUUCUCAAUCACGACCAGGAGGUC